CUACGGGCGGCAGCAGUGAGGAAUUUUGCGCAAUGGGGGAAACCCUGACGCAGCAACGCCGCGUGAGUGAUGAAGGCUCUCGGGUCGUAAAGCUCUGUCAAGUGGGAAGAAAAUACUUUGUACGAAUAAUGCAAAGUACUGACGGUACCACUGAAGGAAGCACCGGCUAACGCCGUGCCAGCGGCCGCGGUAAUACGGAGGGUGCAAGCGUUAUUCGGAAUUAUUGGGCGUAAAGAGUGCGUAGGCGGCGUGAUAAGUCAGAUGUGAAAGUCCAGGGCUUAACCCUGGAAGUGCAUUUGAAACUAUCAUGCUUGAGUAUGGGAGAGGGAAGUGGAAUUCCUGGUGUAGAGGUGAGAUUCGUAGAUAUCAGGAAGAACACCGGUGGCGAAGGCUACUUCCUGGACCAAUACUGACGCUGAGGCGCGAAGGCGUGGGGAGCAAACAGGAUUAGAUACCCUUGUAGUC
rnacentral:rRNA from 1 species